AAGGGAGCUUUCCAGUGUGAAAUUUUCAAAAAAUCGAUUUUUUUUUUUUUUGCUUUAUCGAAUAGUAUACACUCUUCCGAAUAUUCCCUGAAAUUUUCAUGCCGAAAUUCAGAUUAUUUCGGUUACUGUACAGCAUUUCUUGGAAGAAGGCAACGGAGCGCUACAGCUGCUCGUGCGACCGUUAUUUCUAUUGUCUCGUUCCUACCUGCACGUACAUGAACUUGGCUCGCCAAUUGCCGAAAAUGUGAAUUCGGACUAUUGCAUAAUUUGGCGUUAAUUAGCCGUAAAUUAGUCGCGUGACUUAUUUUUUUGUCGCACUCAAUUUUCAAAAAAAAAGCGGAUGGAGUGCUAAGUUCUUGAAAAUCAAUCAAUCACUGUGUGUGGCAACUAGACCCAAAGUACGUAUUCUGCGGCAAGCAGAUAGUAGAAAUCGCUACGCAGUGUGCUGUGUGCACCUUCAAUGAAGAGAUCGGAAGAGGACA
rnacentral:lncRNA from 1 species